CCUACGGGAGGCAGCAGUGGGGAAUUUUGGACAAUGGGCGCAAGCCUGAUCCAGCAAAGCCGCGUGAGUGAAGAAGGCCCUUGGGUUGUAAAGCUCUUUCGGCUGGGAAGAAGGAAGUAUAGCUAAUAUCUAUACUGACAGACGGUACCAGCAUAAGAAGCACCGGCUAACUACGUGCCAGCAGCCGCGGUAAUACGUAGGGUGCGAGCGUUAAUCGGAAUUACUGGGCGUAAAGGGUGUGUAGGCGGUUUGUUAAGUCUGAUGUGAAAGCCCCGAGCUUAACUUGGGAACUGCGUUGGAAACUGGCAAACUAGAGUACGUAAGAGGGGGGUAGAAUUCCACGUGUAGCAGUGAAAUGCGUAGAGAUGUGGAGGAAUACCGAUGGCGAAGGCAGCCCCCUGGGACGAUACUGACGCUGAGGCACGAAAGCGUGGGGAGCAAACAGGAUUAGAUACCCUGGUAGUCCACGCCCUAAACGAUGUCAACUAGUUGUUGGGACCCUUGUGGUUUCAGUAACGCAGCUAACGCAUGAAGUUGACCGCCUGGGGAGUACGGUCGCAAGAUUAAAACUCAAAUGAAUUGACGG
rnacentral:rRNA from 1 species